GGAAGAUUGGGGAUGCAUAUGUUUACUUUUGGCGGUCUCUCAUAGGGCUCGGCUGACUAUAUGUCGUUGGGCUGGUUCCUGUAGUUCGAGGCGGGGAGGGGAAUGGUUGGUGCGUGUGGUCUGACAGGACAUAUGCGUGCCAUGUUUGUUAGGUCCACCUUGCAAGGUUAAAUCGGAUCGAUUCGCCGCGACUCACGAUUAUGAGAACCUUGAUCUCCGAGUCACAUCAUAGUAAUAAUGAGAUGUAAUGAUAUAUGGUGGUGAUUACUCUGAAUUGUUAUUUAAUACUCUACCAUGUUUGCUCUAGAUAUGCAAAUAUUAACUGAUGGUUAAACUAUACAGAACCUUGAGCUAAAAUAUUGAAAGUAAUGAUCCACUCUUAGAUGCUUUUUGGCAAAACAAACCAUCAGCCAGAAAGUCUUGCAUGUCAAGAUAGUGGGCUAAGUAUACCCAUAGUCGGGUAAGUCUUACCGAGUAUUAGUUACACAGGGUUUGUUGUUUACCCUGUUUCAGGUAUAGAAACUAACCAGGAUUAACAUCGGUGGGCUCGAUGUGACGUCCUCAUGUUUUCGUAGUUAUGGUUUUGUUUUAUUGAUUCUCAAUCAAACUCCCUUCUCUCAGGUUAUAUUCUCUUCUGUUGUUGUCAUUUAUUUUAUAUAAAUUCUAAAUAUAAAACUGUUUUUUUGUAAAGAUUUAUGUUGUUAUCUAUUUUGUAAAAUUAUGUCAUGCUGGUACCGCCUGCGCUCGCCGUCAUGCGAGACUACUGGUGAUGUUUCGAUCGGCUUGUGGGUUGAAAACAGACUGUCAGAUCGGAAUGUAUGAUGCAAGGGGCAACAACCAGCUUGCUCGUAGUUUGCAAGCAGCAAACCACCCUGUUCUUUUGCGGCUCUUAGGCGGUUGGAAAUGUAAGGAGGAAGGCUGAAAGGCAGAUACUAGGCCUUUUUUUUUUGCGAAACAGAGAUUCAAUUUUUAUUUAAACAGCAGUGAAACAGUACAUCUCGGUUUUACAAUAAAGUCUCUGAGGAACACGCAAAUUACAACAAGGACCUUACUGUUCAUCUUCCUCCUUCGAAACCGACGCCGAAGCCCAUUCUACUAGGGCUGAAAGGGAGGUACUAAGGUUAGGUUUAGUUUUUUCAGUUUCAGUCAUAAGUUCCGUCACAUCGCAUGUUUAAACACUAAUUUAAAUAAAGAUUUAUUAUCAAACUAAUUUCAUAAAUCAUGAUUUAAUCACGAGACGAAUCUAUUAAGCCUAAUUAAUUCAUAGUUUGACAACUAAUUGCUAUAGUAAUCAUUCACUAACUGUGCAUUAAUUAUACUUAAUAGAUUCGUCUAGAGCCCUAAUUGCAACUCAUGCAAUCAAUUUUAUAUUAAGUUGACAUCCAAACAUUCGAACUGACAUCCGAACAUUCGAUGUGAUAGCAGCUUAAAAA